UACGUAGGGUGCAAGCGUUAAUCGGAAUUACUGGGCGUAAAGCGUGCGCAGGCGGUUUUGUAAGACAGAGGUGAAAUCCCCGGGCUCAACCUGGGAACUGCCUUUGUGACUGCAAGGCUAGAGUGCGGCAGAGGGGGAUGGAAUUCCGCGUGUAGCAGUGAAAUGCGUAGAUAUGCGGAGGAACACCGAUUGCGCAGGCAAUCCCCUGGGCCUGUACUAACGCUCAUGCCCUAAACCGUGGGGAGCAAACAGGAUUAGAUGCCCUGGUAGUCCACGCCCUCAACGAUGUCAACUGGUUAUUGGGUCUUCAUUGACUCAGUAACGUAGCUAAAGUAUGAAGUUGACCGCCUGGGGAGUUCGGCCGCAAGGUGGAAGCUUAAAUGAAUUGACGGGG
rnacentral:rRNA from 1 species